UCCCUGGACUAGUGGUUAGGCCAUGGUGCUAUCACCAUCGUGGCCCGGGUUCAAUUCCCAGGUAGAGAA